UGUAAAAUGAUGAGAAACUUGGAUCUGAAACUGAUGUGGAUAACAAACACAUAAUGGUCUUCAAAGUUCUCUGAUUGCC
rfam:Ananas comosus cultivar MD2 ACMD2_Scaffold_6666, whole genome shotgun sequence.